UGGGGAAUAUUGCACAAUGGGCGCAAGCCUGAUGCAGCCAUGCCGCGUGUGUGAAGAAGGCCUUCGGGUUGUAAAGCACUUUCAGCGAGGAGGAAGGUGGUGAACUUAAUACGUUCAUCAAUUGACGUUACUCGCAGAAGAAGCACCGGCUAACUCCGUGCCAGCAGCCGCGGUAAUACGGAGGGUGCAAGCGUUAAUCGGAAUUACUGGGCGUAAAGCGCACGCAGGCGGUUUGUUAAGUCAGAUGUGAAAUCCCCGGGCUCAACCUGGGAACUGCAUUUGAAACUGGCAAGCUAGAGUCUCGUAGAGGGGGGCUAGAAUUCCAGGUGUAGCGGUGAAAUGCGUAGAGAUCUGGAGGAAUACCGGUGGCGAAGGCGGCCCCCCUGGACGAAGACUGACGCUCAGGUGCGAAAGCGUGGGGCAGCAAACAGGAUUAGAUACCCUGGUAGUCAGCGCUGUAAACGAUGUCGAUUUGGAGGUUGUGCCCUUGAGGCGUGGCUUCCGGAGCUAACGCGUUAAAUCGACCGCCUGGGGAGUACGGCC
rnacentral:rRNA from 1 species